GGCCAGACUCCUACGGGAGGCAGCAGUGGGGAAUAUUGCACAAUGGGAGAAACCCUGAUGCAGCGACGCCGCGUGAGUGAAGAAGUAUUUCGGUAUGUAAAGCUCUAUCAGCAGGGAAGAUAAUGACGGUACCUGACUAAGAAGCCCCGGCUAACUACGUGCCAGCAGCCGCGGUAAUACGUAGGGGGCAAGCGUUAUCCGGAUUUACUGGGUGUAAAGGGUGCGUAGGUGGCAGGGCAAGUCAGAUGUGAAAGCCCGGGGCUCAACCCCGGUACUGCAUUUGAAACUGUCCAGCUGGAGUGCAGGAGAGGUAAGCGGAAUUCCUAGUGUAGCGGUGAAAUGCGUAGAUAUUAGGAGGAACACCAGUGGCGAAGGCGGCUUACUGGACUGUAACUGACACUGAGGCACGAAAGCGUGGGGAGCAAACAGGAUUAGAUACCCUCGUAC
rnacentral:rRNA from 1 species